rnacentral:rRNA from 1 species
AACGAACGCUGGCGGCAGGCCUAACACAUGCAAGUCGAGCGAAGCCUUCGGGCUUAGCGGCGGACGGGUGAGUAACGCGUGGGAACGUGCCCUUUGCUACGGAAUAGCCCCGGGAAACUGGGAGUAAUACCGUAUGUGCCCUUCGGGGGAAAGAUUUAUCGGCAAAGGGUCGGCCCGCGUUGGAUUAGGUAGUUGGUGGGGUAAUGGCCUACCAAGCCGACGAUCCAUAGCUGGUUUGAGAGGAUGAUCCGCCACCCUGGGACUGAGACACGGCCCAGACCCCUACGGGAAGCAGCAGUGGGGAAUCUUCGACAAUGGGGGAAACCCUGAUCUAGCCAUGCCGCGUGAUCGAUGAAGGCCUUAGGGUUGUAAAGAUCUUUCAGUGGGGAAGAUAAUGACUGUACCCACAGAGGAAGCCCCGGCUAACUCCGUGCCAGCCGCCGCCGUAAGAC